rnacentral:rRNA from 1 species
GAAAGAAUAUCGGAGACGGAUGGGCAUGCGGCGCAUUAGCUGGUUGGCGGGGUAACGGCCCACCAAGGCGACGAUGCGUAGGGGUUCUGAGAGGAAGGUCCCCCACACUGGUACUGAGACACGGACCAGACUCCUACGGGAGGCAGCAGUGAGGAAUAUUGGUCAAUGGGCGAGAGCCUGAACCAGCCAAGUCGCGUGAGGGAGUACUGCCCUAUGGGUUGUAAACCUCUUUUGUCGGGGAGCAAAAGCCGGACGUGUCCGGCUGUGAGAGUACCCGAAGAAAAAGCAUCGGCUAACUCCGUGCCAGCAGCCGCGGUAAUACGGAGGAUGCGAGCGUUAUCCGGAUUUAUUGGGUUUAAAGGGUGCGCAGGCGGAUUUUUAAGUCAGCGGUCAAAUCGUGGGGCUCAACCCCAUCCAGCCGUUGAAACUGGGGAUCUAGAGUGUGCGAGAGGUAUGCGGAAUGCGUGGUGUAGCGGUGAAAUGCAUAGAUAUCACGCAGAACCCCGAUUGCGAAGGCAGCAUACCGGUGCACAACUGACGCUCAGGCACGAAAGCGUGGGUAUCGAACAGGAUUAGAUACCCUGGUAGUCCACGCAGUAAACG